UCGUUCGGAAGCUCAACAAAGAUCAUUAAACUAACGAUCGGUGGGACUUUCGUUCGAUU
rnacentral:pre_miRNA from 1 species